GCUGUACUAGCUCAUUUGGUUAGAGCACUCCGCUGAUACCGGAGAGGCGCCUUGUUCGAAUCAAGGGUACAGCACCA
rnacentral:tRNA from 1 species